rnacentral:tRNA from 1 species
GGGACUGUAGCUCAGCGGCAGAGUGCUUGCCUUGCAAGUGUGAGGCACUGAGUUUGAUCCUCAGCACCA